rnacentral:tRNA from 2 species
GGAAAGGAAUCGCACCCUGGUGGGGCGCCCGGUCUUCAAAACCGGUGGGACGCGUUAGACGGGUCCGGUGGGUUCGACUCCCACUCUUUUCCGCCA